rnacentral:rRNA from 1 species
CAUUACUGAAAGACAAUAGGGUUUGAGACUGCGUCGUUGACGGCGUGUGCUCGACCCUUACUCUUUUAUCCACACACCUCUGUGCAUCAUGUGGGGACUUUGGUCCCCUUUUUCACAUAAACACCGAGUAUAUGCCUGUAUAGUACACUCUACGGAGUUAAUGUACAACUUUCAACAACGGAUCUCUUGGCUUUCGCAUCGAUGACGAACGCAGCGAAUGUGCGAAACGUAAUGUGAAUUGCAGAAUUCAGUGAAUCAUCGAAUCUUUGAACGCAUCUUGCGCUCCUUGGUAUUCCGAGGAGCAUGCCUGUUUGAGUGUCGCGAAAUACUCUCGAUUUCAUUUUAAUCUUUUGAAAUCGGAUUUGGGUGUUGUUGUGGGAAUUACACGACUCAUCCUAAAUGCAUUAGCGGUCUGCCUUGAUCACGCGCAAUGUGAUAAUGAAAAGCAUUGUUAGGAUCAAGACGGGUUGCUCCCAACCGUCGAAAGACAACGGGAUAUAUGCGUCGUUUGACCCGCAUAUAUAUGUCGUUUGACCUCAAAUCAGGUAGGAUUACCCGCUGAACUUAAGCAUAUCAAUA